GAUGAACGCUGGCGGCGUGCCUAAUACAUGCAAGUCGAGCGAACGGACGAGAAGCUUGCUUCUCUGAUGUUAGCGGCGGACGGGUGAGUAACACGUGGAUAACCUACCUAUAAGACUGGGAUAACUUCGGGAAACCGGAGCUAAUACCGGAUGAUAUUUUGAACCGCAUGGUUCAAAAGUGAAAGACGGUCUUGCUGUCACUUAUAGAUGGAUCCGCGCUGCAUUAGCUAGUUGGUAAGGUAACGGCUUACCAAGGCAACGAUGCAUAGCCGACCUGAGAGGGUGAUCGGCCACACUGGAACUGAGACACGGUCCAGACUCCUACGGGAGGCAGCAGUAGGGAAUCUUCCGCAAUGGGCGAAAGCCUGACGGAGCAACGCCGCGUGAGUGAUGAAGGUCUUCGGAUCGUAAAACUCUGUUAUUAGGGAAGAACAUAUGUGUAAGUAACUGUGCACAUUUUGACGGUACCUAAUCAGAAAGCCACGGCUAACUACGUG
rnacentral:rRNA from 1 species